GUGGGGAAUAUUGCGCAAUGGCCGCAAGGCUGACGCAGCGACGCCGCGUGUGGGAUGAAGGCCUUCGGGUUGUAAACCACUGUCGGGAGGGGCGAAUACCCGGCUUCGAUAAGGAGACCGGGGGUGACGGUACCUCCAAAGGAAGCACCGGCUAACUCCGUGCCAGCAGCCGCGGUAAUACGGAGGGUGCGAGCGUUGUCCGGAAUCACUGGGCGUAAAGGGCGCGUAGGCGGCUUUGUAAGUCACCUGUGAAAUUCCGGGGCUCAACUCCGGAGCUGCAGGUGAGACUGCAUGGCUAGAGCUCGGUAGAGGCGAGUGGAAUUCCCGGUGUAGCGGUGGAAUGCGUAGAUAUCGGGAAGAACACCAGUGGCGAAGGCGGCUCGCUGGGCCGAUGCUGACGCUGAGGCGCGAAAGCGUGGGGAGCAAACAGGAUUAGAAACCCUUGUAGUCC
rnacentral:rRNA from 1 species